rnacentral:rRNA from 1 species
AUGUUAAAAUUCUUCUUUUCUGAAGGUUCAUCUGAUGGAACAAUUCGUGUUUGGGAGGUUGAAACUGGCCGCUGUCUUAAGGUUUUCAAUGUUGGUGCUGAUGUCCACCAUAUCUCGUGGAAUCCUUCACCUGACAGACCCAUUCUGGCUGCUAUUGUGUACGCCUUCUCCAUUCCCAUGUAUACUAUCUUUUUAGGUCUAUGCAUUCUUACCAUUCAUCUUAUUUGCUGCAGUGGCCAUGAUCUUCUGCUUCUUAACGCUGAGGUGGGGGACAAGGCAGCUCCUUCACGUGGAGGAGCCAACUCCUGA